UGCGGCAUAGUUCAAUUGGUAGAGCGUCUGACUCUGACUCAGGAAGUUGCAGGUUCGAGUCCUGCUACCGCAG
rnacentral:tRNA from 2 species